rnacentral:lncRNA from 1 species
GGAGCAGCCUGGGUCCAUCCCACAUGUCCCAGAGGCACAGGAGGACACCAACUGUGCAGGGAUCAGAGGCCAGGGAGCCCAUCAGGGCCUGUUUUUCCUGGAACCAGCAGGACUCCCAUCCAGGUCCACUCAAGUUGUGACACUGCUUGGCUUACUGUGCCAUGAUAAAUAAGCCAGUUUGAGUCACUUGGUCUAAUAUCGAGACCACGAACAUAUUGAUCACAGAAUGUGUUAGGUAAGCAUGUUGUUGACUGAAGUGUAAGUAAGGUGCUCACCUUAAAUGCAUGUGCCAACAUCAGCAUCUUCAGAAGAGUCUCUUUCCCUUUGGGACAUCGAGGUGACUGACAGUUAAACAAGCCGUAUUUGGAGUAGGUGUACAAUCAGCCUCCUUCCAGUUCUCCUUGGCACUUUCCAGUUCACAAAGGACACUUCACUCCUUUUUGGUUUUUUUGAGACAGGGUCUCACUCUGUCACCCAGGCUAGAGUACGGUGGUGAGAUCACCC